rnacentral:tRNA from 1 species
AGUUAAAAAACUUUUGAAAGUAUUAUAUUUUGAAAAUAUAAGUAAAAGGUUAAAAUCCUUUAUUAACUU